rnacentral:rRNA from 1 species
UACGGAAGGCAGCAGUGGGGAAUAUUGCACAAUGGGCGCAAGCCUGAUGCAGCCAUGCCGCGUGUAUGAAAAAGGCCUUCGGGUUGUAAAGUACUUUCAGUCGUGAGGAAGGUGUUAAGGUUAAUAACCUUAGCAAUUGACGUUAGCGACAGAAGAAGCACCGGCUAACUCCGUGCCAGCAGCCGCGGUAAUACGGAGGGUGCGAGCGUUAAUCGGAAUUACUGGGCGUAAAGGGCACGCAGGCGGUUAAUUAAGUUGGAUGUGAAAUCCCCGGGCUUAACCUGGGAAUGGCAUUCAAGACUGGUUAGCUAGAGUCUUGUAGAGGGGGGUUAGAAUUCCAUGUGUAGCGGUGAAAUGCGUAGAGAUGUGGAGGAAUACCGGUGGCGAAGGCGGCCCCUGGACAAAGACUGACGCUCAUGUGCGAAAGCGUGGGGAGCAAACAGGGAUUAGAUACCC